UAUUUAUUUUAUUAUAUUUAUUUUUUGUUUAUUUAAUUAUUUAAUAAAAAUAAUUUUGUUGAAUUUUGUCUUAGUAUAUUUUGUAGAAUUGAUUUUUUAGAUUAUAGCUUAUUGGUAAUGUAAUUGUUUUAUGAAAUAUUAUUUUAAAUUUUUAAAAGUAGAUUUUAUUUAUUGUACCUUUUGUAUCAGGGUUUAUCAAAAUUUUAGUAUUUAUUUUACUUGUCUCGAUUUGGGUUGAUUUAUAAAUAAUUUAUAGUUAAUGUAUCAUAAUUAUUAUUAAAUUAUUUAUAGAAAUGAGAUGUUAAUCGUUUCCCAAGAUAUCUAGUUUCUUAAGAAAAAAUUUAAUUUUUUGAAGUUAAUUGUUUCUAUUUAAUUUUUUAAGUAUAAAUAUUAACUUAUUUAUUCUUUAAGGGAUAAGCUUUGAAGUUAAUAACCUAUAAUUUGUUUUAAUAAAAUAUAAUAGUAAGCUUUAAACCAGCUAUCUUUAAGAUUACGUUUUAGUUCAUUAUUUUUUAUUUUGAUUUUAUAAUUAUUUUAGGUUUUUUAUUAAGAUUAUUUAUUUAAUUUUAAAAUUUUUGUAAUAAUGAUAGAAUUAGUAUAUUUAUUUGUAUAUAAUUUUUACCUUGUGAAUUUAUUAUAAGGAACUAGGC
rnacentral:rRNA from 1 species